rnacentral:ncRNA from 1 species
AAAGUUUUAUUUUAGCUAAUAAUUUAUUUUAUAUUUAUUUUAUAUGUAAAUUUUUGUAUGAAUAUAAAAAAUUCUUAAAGAAUUAAAUUUAUUUUAUUCGCAGUAUUUAAUAUUAUAAAUUAAAGAAAUUUAGAUUUAGUAAAAUAUUAUAAUAUAGGAUAAUUUUGUGCCAGCAUCUGCGGUUAUACAAAAUAUAUAAAUAAAUUUUAUUAGUAAUAUAGUUAUAAUGAUUAUUAAUAAAUAAUUAAUAAAAUUAUUUUUUAGGUUAAAUUUUAAAAUUUUUAUAAAAUUAUUUUAUAAUAAAGUAUUAGAAGCUAUAAAAUUUAAAUAUUAAACUAGGAUUAGAUACCCUAUUAUUUUAAAUAUAAAAAUAAAAAACUAAGGUAGUAAUAGUUAUAUUCUUGAAACUUAAAAAAUUUGGCGGUGUUUUAGUCUAUUUAGAGGAACCUGUUCUGUAAUUGAUAAUCCACGAUAAAUUUUACUAAAUUUUGUAUAAUUUAUAUACCGUCGUUAAAAGAAUAUCUUAAAAGAGAAAAAUUUUCUAAUAUUUUAAUAAAAAAAAUAUUUCAGAUCAAGGUGUAGUUAAUAAUUUAGAAGAAAUGGGUUACAAUAAAAUUAUUUAUAUAGAUAUUUUGCUGAAAAGUAAAAUUGAAAGUGGAUUUAAUAGUAAAUUUAAUAAAAUAAUUAAAUUGAUUUUAGCUCUAAAACAUGUACAUAUCGCCCGUCGCUCUCUCUUUUAAAGAGAGAUAAGUCGUAACAUAGUAGAUGUACUGGAAAGUGUAUCUAGAAUGAU